rnacentral:rRNA from 1 species
GGGAUUGCCUCAGNAACGGCGAGUGAAGCGGCAACAGCUCAAAUUUGAAAUCUGGCCCCUCUGGGAGUCCGAGUUGUAAUUUGUAGAGAGCGUUUCGGGCGAGUCCGCGGUCCAAGUCCAUUGGAACAUGGCGUCAUAGAGGGUGAGAAUCCCGUACGCGUCCGCGGCACAAGCCCACAUGAAGCCUCUUCGACGAGUCGAGUUGUUUGGGAAUGCAGCUCAAAAUGGGUGGUAAAUUUCAUCUAAAGCUAAAUACUGGCUGGAGACCGAUAGCGCACAAGUAGAGUGAUCGAAAGAUGAAAAGCACUUUGGAAAGAGAGUCAAACAGUACGUGAAAUUGUUGAAAGGGAAGCGCUUGCGACCAGACCUGCCCGUAGGUGAUCAACCGCUGUUCUCAGCGGCGCACUCACUCUGCGAUCAGGCCAGCAUCGGUUUGGGCGGCCGGAUAAAGGCCCCGGGAAUGUAGCUCCGCUUCGGGGGAGUGUUAUAGCCCGAGGUGGCAUGCGGCCAGCCGAGACCGAGGACCGCGCUUCGGCUAGGAUGCUGGCGUAAUGGUCGCAAGCGACCCGUCUUGAAACACGGACCAAGGAGUCUAACAUCUAUGCGAGUGUUUGGGUGUUAAACCCAUGCGCGGAAUGAAAGUGAACGGAGGUGAGACCCCUUAAGGGCGCAUCAUCGACCGAUCCAGAUGUCUUCGGAUGGAUUUGAGUAUGAGCAUAGCUGUUGGGACCCGAAAGGUAAAUUAACACCCCUGAUCCAUACGAAUACUCCCUAUGCUAACUUCUUGAAAGAUGGUGAACUAUGCCUGAAUAGGGUGAAGCCAGAGGAAACUCUGGUGGAGGCUCGCAGCGGUUCUGACGUGCAAAUCGAUCGUCAAAUUUGGGUAUAGGGGCGAAAGACUAAUCGA